UGGAGAAAGACAUAGUGGAUAUGCUGUUGGCUUUAAACCAACUAGAGUGUGUUCGAUUCCUCCCUUUC
rnacentral:tRNA from 1 species